GAAGCACUCAGAGGGGAAAGUGCACCUAGUUCAGAGAAUCAAUGGUGCGCUGGUUUUCGCGUAAAAUAAAUGACAGAGAAAGACUCAGACUCCUGUAGUUAGACUUGUUGUUUAAUUUAGGGAGAAACAAAGUUCUGUAAUAUAUUUAGAUACACUCUUUGCAGGUAGCAAAGUGCCUCACCAUUUAUGAGAUCCAGCAGCCCCGACACAGCGGCCAUCUCUGACACGCAGCGCAUCUGGGGCUAUGCCGUGCUUGAUUUACAACCAUACUGGCUUUGCAGCGGUGUUUCUAUCGGCCGACCAAAGGACAAAGCUGAACCCUGACCUGCGAUUCCACCGGAGCUGCUGGAGAUCACACUGAAACGGGAAAACACGUUCAUCGUUCAGGCUUCAGUAGAAGUGAAUGACAGAUGUUUUAAGCCUUUGUUCCCUCCAGUGGCGGCGGUGAUGGGGACGACAGCAGCACAUAGACGGCACCAGCUUUCAUUAGAAUUGGCAAAUCUUUCUGGAAAAAAACCCCCUAAGACAUCACAUAAUUCUAAACACGGUGGCUUUGAAUUUCAAUAUUAUCAUUAUCAUUAUCAUCAUUAUUAUUAUUAUUAUACAACUUUCUAUCUUCUUUACUACAAGAUGGUUCUGUAAACUGUCCUCUAAUUAUAACUCAGUUUAGGUUCAGAGGACAGCAUGAACACGGACGUACCACAGAACAAUACUGCUUGAAUAGGGUUCAAUAUCACAGAUCAGACCAAAUGAACAGACCGGUAUUGAUUAACACUUCUCUGGGGACACGAGCUGUGAUGGAUAACAUAAUGUCUUAGCAGAGACAUCGGAAGUCAUUUCAAAAGGCUCAUGCCUUCCUGAGUCUGCCUAUGAAACUAAUUACACACUGUCCCCGCUGGUCUGUUAUUGUUUUACUGUUGAAGCUGCUGUGUUCCUUAAAAACUCUCGUAGUACAUGCAUGUAUAGAUACUUAUCUUUGGUUACUAUGUUUGCCGUUUCAACAGACAUAAUUUAUGCCACUGACCGCGGCUUUUCAGAAGUGUGGGUUUUUGAUUUUAUACAAAACAUAGCUGUGCUGGAGAACAGCUCCACUCUCUGUUUUUAUGUGCAAAUGCUGUUACAAUGAAGAUUAAAUCAUAA